UUAGAGAUUACAUGGAAUACCAAUUGCGAAGGCAGGUUACUACUAAUGGAUUGACGCUGAUGGACGAAAGCGUGGGUAGCGAACAGGAUUAGAUACCCUGGUAGUCCACGCCGUAAACGAUGGAUACUAGCUGUUGGAAGCAAUUUCAGUGGCUAAGCGAAAGUGAUAAGUAUCCCACCUGGGGAGUACGUUCGCAAGAAUGAAACUCAAAGGAAUUGACGGGGGCCCGCACAAGCGGUGGAGCAUGUGGUUUAAUUCGAUGAUACGCGAGGAACCUUACCAAGGCUUAAAUGUAGAUUGACCGGUUUGGAAACAGAUCUUUCGCAAGACAAUUUACAAGGUGCUGCAUGGUUGUCGUCAGCUCGUGCCGUGAGGUGUCAGGUUAAGUCCUAUAACGAGCGCAACCCCUGUUGUUAGUUGCCAGCGAGUCAUGUCGGGAACUCUAACAAGACUGCCAGUGCAAACUGUGAGGAAGGUGGGGAUGACGUCAAAUCAUCACGGCCCUUACGCCUUGGGCUACACACGUGCUACAAUGGCCGGUACAGAGAGCAGCCACUGGGCGACCAGGAGCGAAUCUAUAAAACCGGUCACAGUUCGGAUCGGAGUCUGCAACUCUACUCCGUGAAGCUGGAAUCGCUAGUAAUCGGAUAUCAGCCAUGAUCCGGUGAAUACGUUCCCGGGCCUUGUACACACCGCCCGUCAAGCCAUGGAAGCUGGGGGUGCCUGAAGUCGGUGACCGCAAGGAGCUGCCUAGGUAAAC
rnacentral:rRNA from 1 species